GUCUGGUAAAAUACAUCAAUUUUAUUAAGUGCAGAGAAGAAAAACAUUUUGAAUCUAACUUUCAAAAAAGGACACAUAUCUACUCAUCAUGAAAUAGAAGUCUUAAACUUGUACAAACAAAUUAUCACAGCACUAAGUAAUUUAUGACUUCAAACAGACCAGAAAGCAGUAAUAAAGGGCUGAUAAUGUUGCCAGUUGUUACAGAAAAUAUAUUUUGCAUUUUUGUAAAAAGUAUUCUCUCAAAAAAAUAAAAAGCAUUGAUAAG